GAGAAGAGAAAACACUGCUAGCAUAAAUAAUAACUAUGGCAUUCCUGAACCGGUGAAGUAAGGAGAUACUCAGGUUUGAUUUGCAUUGUUAGAAAAAGCAUGUGUAGAUGUAACGGAUGGAACAGACAACACUUGAUAGGGUGGAGGUAAUGAAUCUGAGAUGCUCGCUGAGGCAGAAGGAUAACGAAGAUUAAGAGUUCGAGAGAUAUUUAUAAAGUUGUUAGAAAACCCGUAUAAGUAAGUGUUGUUAGAUGCUUCACGAGUAUUGGGAGCUUCAGGAAGUAAAGCAGGUUCUGGAUAUGGCGGUAAGACACGAUUCCCAUUGCAUCGACCAAUACCUAUUCCAUGAUAAGAUAUGCGAGGUCCAUGCUUUUUAAGUUUCGCCAACUGACGAAGCUGAAGUAUUCUGGCGUUAGGCGUAUCAAAGGAUGGAUAUGGAUUUACACCGCCUUCGCCAGCUUUAGAAAAAUUCAAGACAACAUCAAUUCCUUCUCUCUCACCUUCAAUUCCAACUAGCCGUUCAUUUUCUUGAAGGCUCGCAGAAUAUUUUGGUAAAGUGAUAGAAGGCUCGACUAUUGGAAGAUCGUACAUAUCUGUUUCCAACUCUUCCUCAUCAUCAAUAGACAUGCAGCAGAAAAUGGAUCUUAGCAGUCUGUUCUUUUGGUAAGUACAACUAUGAUAUCUUUUUAUAAUGAUCAAGGCAAUAAAGAAAAUAGGGAUUAAAACAGAAAACCAAAAUACCUAAAAUGUUAACCUUUAAAUUUCAACAAUUUAAUUAACUUACAAACCGUAGUUCUUUUAGGUCUUCUGUGCUAGCAAAGCUAGAAGCUUGAUCAUUUUCAUCAGACGAUUCAACCAUUUGAUCCUAAUUCAAAGCACUCAGCCAAGCUUAGCAUAAACUUGUUAAUGAAAUAACAAGCAAAGCUCCAAAAAAAAGAGAGAAAGAUUGAUUUUCCUUCGGAUCCCACUCCAGUUACAAAUGGUUAAAGGAUGAGAUUCGACUUCAUGCGAAUAAUGCAAAUACCAAGAUCAUGUAAACAAACAAACGCUCGAAAAAAGUGCCAAGUUCAACUCAUACA